rnacentral:rRNA from 1 species
UUGCCUGGCGGCCUUAGCGCGGUGGUCCCACCUGACCCCAUGCCGAACUCAGAAGUGAAACGCCGUAGCGCCGAUGGUAGUGUGGGGUCUCCCCAUGCGAGAGUAGGGAACUGCCAGGCA